GGGCUAGGUGGCACCUGCUUGUUGCCCCAGCAACUUGGGAGGCUGAGGCAGGAAAAUCGCUUGAGCUCAAGAGUUCUGGGCUUUAGUAAGCUAUGCCAAUCAGAUAUCUGCACUACGUCUGGCAUCAAUACAAUGACCUCCAGGGAACCAGGUUGCCUAAGGAGUGGUGAACUGGCCCAGGUCGGAAACAGAGCAGGUUAAAACUUCUGUGCUGAUCAGUAGUGGGAUCACAACCGUGAAUAGCCACUGCACUUCAGCCUGGGCAAUAUAGAAAGACACUGUCUCU
ensembl:misc_RNA Metazoa_SRP Metazoan signal recognition particle RNA